CGUGGAGAUUCAGAGAGCACGGAGUUCGAGAAAACUUUUAUUUUGAAGAGGCCGAGGGGGGGGGCGCUUCAUUUCCUGACAGCUAUUUACUUAGAGCAAAUGAUUAGUUUUAGAAGGAUGGACUAUAACGUUGAAUCAAUUACAAAACGCGGUUUUUGAGCCCAUUACAGUUGGAGCUAGAGGGAGAAAAACAGAGGAGGGGACUUCAGGAGAGUGCUGGAAGCCGUGGACACUGUUUACUCCCUAUGUAGGAUUUUCAUUACGAAUUGACAUAGGAGGAGAAGUUUUCCGGAACGAUGGGGACUUCCCUUCCGGCCCUCCUGAUCUUAGGCUGUCUCCUCAGAGGGCCCAGCCUAAUCCUCUGCCAGCUUUCAUUACCGUCUAUCCUCCCGAACGAAAAUGAAAAGGUCGUGCAGCUGAAUUCAUCCUUUUCUCUGAGAUGCUUUGGGGAGAGUGAAGUGAGCUGGCAGUACCCCAUGUCUGAAGAAGAGAACCCCAAUGUGGAAAUCAGAAAUGAGGAAAACAACAGUGGCCUUUUUGUGACCGUGCUGGAGGUGGUCAACGCGUCGGCGGCGCACACAGGCUUGUACACUUGCUAUUACAAUCACACUCAGACGGAGGAAACCGAGAUCGAAGGCAGGCACAUCUACAUCUACGUGCCAGACCCAGAUGUAGCCUUUGUACCUCUAGGAAUGACAGAUUAUUUAGUCAUCGUGGAGGAUGAUGAUUCUGCCAUCAUACCUUGUCGCACAACUGAUCCCGAGACUCCGGUCACCUUGCGCAGCAAUGAUGGGGUGGUGCAUGCCUCCUAUGACAGCAGACAGGGCUUUAAUGGGACCUUCAGCGUUGGGCCCUAUAUCUGCGAAGCCACCGUCAGAGGGAAGAAGUUCCAGACCAUCCCAUUUAAUGUUUAUGCUUUAAAAGCAACAUCAGAACUUGAUCUAGAAAUGGAAGCUCUUAAAACCGUGUAUAAGUCAGGGGAGACGAUUGUGGUCACCUGCGCCGUCUUUAACAAUGAGGUGGUUGACCUUCAGUGGACUUACCCUGGAGAAGUGAAAGGCAAAGGCAUCACCAUGCUGGAGGAAAUCAAGGUCCCGUCCAUCAAAUUGGUGUACACUCUGAGGGUCCCCGAGGCCACGGUGAAAGAUAGUGGAGAUUAUGAAUGUGCUGCCCGCCAGGCCACCAAGGAGGUCAAAGAGAUGAAGAAAGUCACCAUUUCUGUCCAUGAGAAAGGGUUCAUUGAAAUCAAACCCAACUUCAGCCCGUUGGAAGCUGUUGACCUACAUGAAGUCAAACAUUUUGUGGUGGACGUGCAGGCCUACCCCCCUCCCAGGAUAUCCUGGCUGAAGGACAACCUGACUCUGAUUGAAAAUCUCACGGAGAUCACCACGGACAUAGAAAGGAUUCAGGAAAUAAGGUAUCGGAGCAAAUUAAAGCUGAUCCGCGCUAAGGAGGAAGACAGUGGCCAUUACACGAUUGUCGUUCAAAAUGAAGACGACGUGAAGAGCUAUACUUUCGAACUCUUAACUCAAGUUCCCUCGUCUAUUCUGGACUUGGUUGAUGACCACCAUGGCUCUACGGGGGGACAGACCGUGAGAUGCACCGCUGAAGGGACGCCUCUUCCUGAUAUUGAGUGGAUGAUCUGCAAGGAUAUUAAGAAGUGUAAUAAUGAAACUUCAUGGGCGAUUUUGGCCAACAAUAUCUCAAACAUUAUCACGGAGGUCCACCCCCGAGAUAGGAGUACUGUGGAGGGCCGAGUGACAUUCACCAGGGUGGAGGAGACCAUCGCUGUUCGAUGUCUGGCCAAGAAUCUCCUUGGGGCCGAGAGCCGAGAGCUGAAGCUGGUGGCUCCCACGCUGCGUUCUGAACUCACCGUCGCCGCUGCGGUCCUCGUGCUGUUGGUGAUUGUGAUCAUCUCACUUAUUGUCCUGGUUGUCAUUUGGAAACAGAAACCGAGGUAUGAAAUUCGCUGGAGGGUCAUUGAAUCCAUCAGCCCUGAUGGACAUGAAUAUAUUUACGUGGACCCGAUGCAGCUGCCUUAUGACUCAAGAUGGGAGUUUCCAAGGGAUGGACUCGUGCUUGGUCGUAUCCUGGGAUCUGGUGCGUUUGGGAAAGUGGUUGAAGGAACUGCCUAUGGGUUAAGCCGCUCCCAGCCUGUCAUGAAAGUGGCAGUGAAGAUGCUAAAACCCACAGCCAGAUCCAGUGAGAAACAAGCUCUCAUGUCGGAACUGAAGAUAAUGACUCACCUGGGGCCGCAUUUAAACAUUGUGAACUUGCUGGGAGCCUGUACCAAGUCAGGCCCUAUUUACAUCAUCACCGAGUACUGCUUCUAUGGGGAUUUGGUCAACUAUUUGCAUAAGAAUAGGGAUAGCUUCCUGAGCCGCCACCCGGAGAAGCCAAAGGAAGAGCUGGACAUUUUCGGAUUGAACCCUGCCGAUGACAGCACACGGAGUUAUGUUAUUUUAUCUUUUGAAAACAAUGGUGACUACAUGGACAUGAAGCAAGCUGACACCACACAGUAUGUCCCCAUGCUGGAAAGGAAAGAGGUUUCUAAAUACUCGGACAUCCAGAGAUCGCUGUAUGACCGCCCAGCCUCGUAUAAGAAGAAAUCUAUGUUAGACUCGGAAGUCAAAAACCUCCUUUCAGACGAUAACUCAGAAGGCCUUACUUUGUUGGACUUGUUGAGCUUUACCUAUCAAGUUGCGCGAGGAAUGGAAUUUUUGGCUUCAAAAAAUUGUGUCCAUCGGGACCUGGCUGCUCGAAAUGUCCUCCUGGCGCAGGGGAAAAUCGUGAAGAUCUGUGACUUCGGCCUGGCCAGAGACAUCAUGCAUGAUUCAAACUACGUGUCCAAAGGCAGUACCUUUCUCCCCGUGAAGUGGAUGGCCCCUGAGAGCAUCUUCGACAACCUCUACACCACGCUGAGUGACGUGUGGUCCUACGGCAUUCUGCUCUGGGAGAUCUUUUCCCUUGGUGGCACACCCUACCCUGGCAUGAUGGUGGAUUCUACUUUCUACAAUAAGAUCAAGAGUGGGUACCGGAUGGCCAAGCCUGACCACGCCACCAGCGAAGUCUAUGAGAUCAUGGUGAAGUGCUGGCACAGCGAGCCGGAGAAGAGACCCUCCUUCUACCACCUGAGUGAGAUUGUGGAGCAUCUGCUGCCUGGACAGUAUAAGAAGAGUUAUGAAAAGAUUCAUCUGGACUUCCUGAAGAGCGACCACCCCGCCGUGGCGCGCAUGCGCGUGGACUCGGACAACACCUACAUUGGCGUCACCUACAAAAACGAGGAAGACAAGCUGAAGGACUGGGAGGGCAGCCUGGACGAGCAGAGGCUGAGCGCGGACAGCGGCUACAUCAUCCCCCUGCCCGACAUCGACCCUGUUCCUGAGGAGGAAGACCUGGGCAAGAGGAACAGACACAGCUCACAGACCUCAGAAGAGAGCGCUAUCGAGACAGGUUCCAGCAGCUCUACUUUCAUCAAGAGAGAGGAUGAAACCAUCGAGGAUAUCGACAUGAUGGACGACAUUGGCAUAGACUCCUCAGACCUGGUAGAGGACAGCUUCCUGUGACUGGCAGAUUCAGGGGGGCACUUUCCACUCCUGGGGCCACCUUGGAUCCCUUUAAGCAAACCACUUGAUUGCAAUGCAAACGUUUGGGAGGAGGACGCGGAUGAGGUGUAAAGAGAAGUUCUCGGCCGAGGGCCUCAGGGAGCCUGCUCACUAUGGAUGAAUGGGAGCUUUCGAAAUGAGCUCUGUCAGCCUUGCCUCUUGGCAAUGCUUCAGUAGCAUCUUAGCGGCGUGUGAAGUUUGGAGAUGUUUGGACAAGGAAGUGAUAGGUCUCGGAAGGUGAACUCCAUGUUUCCAAGGCAUUGGUGAGAUUCCAACAGACACAACUUCGAUUGCGAGAAAACCCCAGCAUUGUAAUUAUGUAAAUAGGUCUAACUGAGGAUGUGUUUAGAUUUGUAUUAACUGUCUUCUCCGGACUUCUGAAGAGACCACUCAUCCCAUCCAUGUACUUCCUGCUUGAAACCUGGUAUCAGCUGCUGUUGAACUCCUCUUUGAAGUACAUGCAAAACCACUUUUGAACCUUAAAAGUGUUUUCAGUGUAUCACAGAUUUGUUUCCUUUUUGGCCUCUUGCAAAGUCCCCAGAUGAAAAUUUGCCAAUCCUUCCUGCUUUCUGUUUUUAUGAAGACAAUCAAAGCUGGCCUGAGAAACACAAUUUGUGACUUUAAAAUGAUCAAUGAUGUCCUUAAAAUGUGGUCUGCCGAUCUGUACAAAUGGUCCUAUUUUUGUGAAGAGGGACGUGAGAUAAAAUGAUGUUAUACAUCAAUAUGUAUAUAUGUAUUUCUAUAUAGACUUGGAGAAUACUGCCAAAACAUUUAUGACAAGCUGUAUCACUGCCUUUGUUUAUAUUUUUUUUGACUGUGAUAUUCCCCACAGGCACAUUGACUGUUGCACUUUUGAAUGUCCAAAAUUUAUAUUUUAGAAAAAUAAAGAGAAAAAUACGUGUUUCCAAAAUAGUGGUGUGGCGAAUGUGUGAGAAGUAACUCAAUACGUAGGGUCUACUGAUAAAAAAAGAUGUAUUACAAAAUGCCCCAUUUGUGUUUUUGUUUUAAAACGUGUAAAUGAAGAUCUUUAUAUUUCAAUAAAUGAUAUAUAUGUAAUUUAAAGUU